UAUUUAUCUGGGUGAAGUAACCCCUUUUUUUUGUUUUCAAAGAGUGUGAUUUAGAACACAAAUUUGACUGUUGUUUUCUUUGGAGCAGAAAAUAUGUCUUAUGCUCCUGCAAUCCUUUCCCUGAAUGCAAAGUUUCCCAGAAACUCCCAUGAUGCGUAUGUCAUUAGACAAUCAGGGAUAUGGCACAGAUUAAGAUCAAGUCAACGAGCAGACAUGUGGUUAUUGGGAGACCGUGGAUAUCCUUGCACCCCCUGGCUCAUGACUCCUUACCGUAAUCCCAGGCCAGGACCACAGACGGCAUUUAACUCCGCGCUU